rnacentral:rRNA from 1 species
AUUGAACGCUGGCGGCAGGCCUAACACAUGCAAGUCGAGCGAGCGGCGGACGGGUGAGUAAUGUCUGGGAAACUGCCUGAUGGAGGGGGAUAACUACUGGAAACGGUAGCUAAUACCGCAUACCAUCAGAUGUGCCCCGAUGGGUUUAGCUAGUAGGUGAGGUAACGGCUCACCUAGGCGACGAUCCCUAGCUGGUCUGAGAGGCUGACCCGCCACACUGGAACUGAGACACGGCCCAGACUCCUACGGGAGGCAGCAGUGGGGAAUAUUGCACAAUGGGCGCAAGCCUGAGACAGCCAUGCCGCGUGUGGGAAGAAGGCCUUCGGGUUGUAAAGCACUUUCAGCGGGGAGGCGUUACCCGCAGAAGAAGCACCGGCUAACUCCGUGCCAGCAGCCGCGGUAAUUC